GAAUCAUCUAAACAUGCCACAGAAGAGGUUCCUGAAGAGGAUGAGGAAAAAAGAAGAGACUACGGUGGAGUGUAUGUCGGACUGCCCACUGACCUCAGCAACGUCCCUCAAGUUCAG